rnacentral:misc_RNA from 1 species
GAAAUGCGAUAACUAGUGUGAAUUGCAGAAUUCCGUGAAUCAUCGAGUCUUUGAACGCAUAUUGCGCCCCCUGGUAUUCCGGGGGGCAUGCCUGUCCGAGCGUCAUUGCUGCCCAUCAAGCACGGCUUGUGUGUUGGGUCGUCGUCCCCUCUCCGGGGGGGACGGGCCCCAAAGGCAGCGGCGGCACCGCGUCCGAUCCUCGAGCGUAUGGGGCUUUGUCACCCGCUCUGUAGGCCCGGCCGGCGCUUGCCGAACGCAAAUCAAUCUUUUUCCAGGUUGAACUCGGAUCAGGUAGGGAUACCCGCUGAACUUAAGC